ACAACUAACUGGCUGAGGUAUGAAAAUUGCUGAAGGGCAUUUUCUAUCACACUUUGGGCAGCUGCACACGAAAUUGAUGGAAAAUUACCUUCCCAAGCUAACAGCUGAUUGUCUGCCUCAUCACCUGAACUUCAAAAUAACUCUUAUUAUUCAGUACGAGAAUGAUCAGAGAACUAGAAAACAUGACCUGCAAUGAAAGAUUGAACUAAUUGGCUCUGUGCAAUCUGUGGAAGAGAAAAUGAAGCAGAGACAUGGUAAUAGUUUUCAAAUACAUAAAAGGCUGCUGCAGAGAAGAAGGCGGCACUUUGUUUUCUGCAUCCAUAGUGGAUAGGACAAAAAACAGUGGGCUUUGUAGCAAAAAUGGAUUCUGGUAAGACAUUGGGUAGCUCAGUUAAAGAUAGUAAAGUGAUGGAAUAGUCUGCUUGAGAAAGAUCCAUCAGGAGAGUUCUUAAAUGAGAGUUCAGAUAAAUGUGCAAUGGGUUGCCUGAUCUGCUGUAGGUGACGUUUUAUGGUGCUUUCCAGCUCUCUUUUCUAACUUUCACCUGCACUCAUGAAGGCUGUGUUUCUGUUAUAGAAAGCCUCCUGUCUCUCAAAUUUCAGUUAAUGGCAAUUCUGUCUUUGGCAUCCAUCAGAAGAGGAUUGGGCCUUUACGUGUGGCCAGCAGAUCAAGGGAGGUGACCCUGCCCCUCUACUCUGUGCUGGUGAAACCUCACCUAGAGUACUGCAUCCAGAUGUGGAGUCCUCAGUACAGGAGCAUGCACAGAGGAGGCCACAAAAUGGAUCCAAGGGAUGGAACACCUCUCCUAUGAGGACAGGCUGAGAGAGCUGGAGCUGUUCAGCCUGGAGAAUAGAAGGCUCUGUGGAAAACCUGUUUUUGCCUUUCAGUAUUUAAAGGGAGGGCUGUGGGAAAGAAGGGGACAGACCCAUCCUUGAUGACAUUCAAGAUCAAAUUGGAUGGGACUCUGAGCAUCCUCAUCUAGCUGUUUGCGUUUCUGUUCACUGCAGGGGAGUUGGACUAGAUGGCCUUUAAUGGUUCCUUCCAUCUCAAAGGAUUCUAUGAUUCUUUCAAGAAUGGAGUACCAGUGAGGAUGUACAGAUAAAUAUUUCUGAAUGUCUUUUCUUCUUCAUACAUGUUAAGUCUUGCUUAAUCUCAUGGGAUAAUACUGUGGGUGAAUGAUGAGUAGUACAUAGAGUAAUGGCCUCACAAACUAAAGUCUUGGGUAAGAAAAAAAUACCGAUAAUGUUGCAAGCACUUCAGGAAUAUGCAAAACCUCUAAGUAUUUUUAUAUCAGGGACUUCUUAUAUUAACUCCAUACCCUAUCCCUUGUUGGUAAAAUCAGGGAACAAAGAUAUGUAAUCAUAUUUUCUGAAUAUCACAUGACAUGCAUUUGUAGAAUUCCUCUGCUACCAAAGGAUGAGCGUCCCAGUGGGAACCAAGCCAAAGAAGCCUACAGUACUGUGGGGUGUAAUGGAAAUCUAGCAGACUUCUGCAAGAUUGCACAUCUUUGUGCAAGGAGGCAGGGAGAAAUAUCUGGUUAAAAUACAAAGGAAAUUACAGUUGGGGGGGGCAUUGAUAUGUUUGGAUCAGCCAUUUUAAGCACCUCUGUUUAUUUACUUUUAGGCUUUCGAAUUAUCUGUUGAUAGAAUUAGUCUUUUUUUGCAAACUCUCUAAAUGACGUGGUUACCUAACUUAGCUCCUAAAUUAUAUGAUAUGAAAACCUCCCUUUGUAAUUAUCCUGGUACUUGACUGCUGUGCUUUGUUUAACAUCCCAGCUGAUGAGCGAUGAUUUCCUGAAUCCAGAACUGAUGAUCCUUGAUCUUCGGAGAAAAUUGCAUCACUAGUUGGAUUUCAGUAACACUGCUUGCAGCCGGCUUCUGGUCCAAUCAGCACUACUACCAGCUGAAGCAUCUGGAAAUAUGGUCUUAGUAUUUUGCAGUUUGCUCAGGGGAGAGCAAUAAUAGUAGUAAUAUAAACUAGCUAUAAGACUGGAUUAUUUUAAUCCAGCCUUGAUUCACUUGCACCUGCUAUUUCUCAUGUGCCUGGAUUAUCUGAUGUAUAAAUGUGAUAUAAGAAGCAUUUGAUCUGUAUGUUCCAUAGCGUGCCCCUAAUUUGAGGUGAAUGGAACUCUUUGUAGUUGCAGGAUGAUUACAGACCAACAGCUGACUGCUUCUCAGAUAGCAUGGCUGUGAAUACUUGCUUCUCAAAAGAGCAAUACUGGAAGAAAGAAGAGGCAUUUCUGAGUUUCACAUUACUCCUACCUAGGAGAGCCAUAUGGAAUCCUGAUAAACUGGGAAAUGUGUCAGCACAAUGAGCCCUUACAGUGAUUCAUCUCUCUUCUAACAUGAUUGGUAAUGAAAUGCCAUGGUAAGAUAACAGCCCAAGAGCCUGUUUGGAGCAAACUCAUUUGGCAGAGAUUCCUUACAGAGUCAACCAAGUAAGAGCCCAACGGGCAGAAAUCAGAGUGUGAGAUGUGGAUAUUAUUCUCUCAUAUCUUGCUGAUUUACAGCAUUUCACAGCCAUUCUAGCAGAGACACCUACAGCUUCAAAUUCUUAAAUACUAACAAAGGAGAACUUCUUAAGUAGAAAUUUCCACCAUAAAGUUUAGAGCACAUCAUAAGCCCAUGGUUGCUCCACAUGGACAUGAAAGUGAAAUUCCCUCAGUCAAAGGGUUUUGGAAGUUAUUAGAAGAAUUCCAGGUUUCAGCCAGAAAACAAGCUGGUGUUCAAAGCACUUAAGCAUAUAUGUCAAAGGCAUUAGUACAUGCUUAAAGUCAACCCCUUCCCUGGCCUUAAUUGAUGCCUUUGCCUUCAAAAUUAUUAAAAGCUAUAUCAAGGCCUACUCUGCAGUCCUGCAGAUAAAUUGGAGGCUCCUGCUGAUUUCAGUGGGAUCUCAAUGGUGUCUUGCUUGCUUUAUCUUUUAGUCAUGGCACUGUUAGGUUUAAAUCUUUAGUGCUACCCUUACUUUCAUUUUCUACUACUUCUCUGAUGGAUCUUUGUGGGGAUUUACUGUCAUCAGUGGCCUACUGAUAGAUCUUGUGACAAAAUUAUAUUCUUUAGCUCUCAGUUGUCAAGAAGCUCUAUUCUCCCUCUCACCAUCAACCCUUCCCCCUGCCACAGGCCUCCCCCCCAGGAGUUAUUGGAAGAGUUUCCAAUUCAGGCAACAAAGUAAUUAAGAGCACAGGAUUUAACACUGACUGUAAUAAGACUAUCCAUUCAAAUUUGACUUGCAUUACUUAAUUUUGAUUUUCCCCUGAAACACAUUUACAAGGCCAGACGGGUGUAUUAUCUCAGCAUACUGUUCAUUAUCAAGCAUGACUGGAACAGGUGGCAACAUACUGACGUGUCUUUAAUAGAACAGAAGUUUGAAUGCAUAUUUCAAAACUGGGCAAAUGAUUUCCUUUGUAACACCAUCAAAACAUGAGCAGUGACAAUUUCAGGAAUAUGUUACCUUAUCCCAUCUUACUUUCAUGUCCAGCACCUGCCAACUGGUCUGUUACUUCUCAGACUCUUGCAGUCUUCAUCAAAUCCUGCUGUCUGUGUUUGGAGAAAUGGAAUAAGUAGUCCUGGUAUGUAACUUAUCAGCAUGUAGCUCUGCAUGGGCUGAAUGACUGCUGGGUGACUGUCACCUUAGCCUUCUGGAUCUUUCAGCCCAUUUGCAGCCAGUGAUAGUUGUUUGCACCUCAAAUACUCAGCCUGGAAGUCAGCCUUGCGCCAACAUAUUCCUACACUGCUGGAGAGUGGAGUCAGUCCAAGAUGGCUCUAGCUGUGACUGUAUUACUUUGUCGUUUCUCUCACUUGGAAACCUGGACAGUUCAUGUAUCUUAUACAUCGAUGUGUCAUACUCCUAGCUGCAUGCCUUCAUUUUCCUAGGGCAAAUAUAGAAAAGAUGGAAGGUUUAUUAAUGCUACUGUCAUUAGGUGCAUUCAGAUAUUGAACCCAGGUGUUGGUGGCCCAGUUCUCUAUACAAUCUAAAGAAGGAGGAAGGUGUGCACUUCCAAUAUGGAGCAUCAAAGUGAAAUGUGCAAGACACUCUUUGAUAGGUUGUGUUCAAGACUUCCACACUAAAAGCAUUUUAGCUUUCACUCAGUGCUAAUGAUGCUUGAAUUCCUAGUCUUUCAAACCUAGAUCCAAUUUCCAGUUACUUCAACAGCAAUAAACUAAAACCUUACAGUCUCAUUGGUUUCAGCAGAAUAAUUCAAGCCUGUAUAAAGCAAAAGUUAGGUUGGAUAUCAGGAAAAAGGUUAGGAAAGGUCAGGAAAGUUUAGGUUGGUGUAUGGGAAAUUGGUAAUCACAGCCUGAACCUCUGAUUAAUCAGCUGAGGCAAGUGUUGGGUCAGCUGUGGGAGCACAGGUGAGAGUAAUUGAGCUGUGCUCCCGGAAGGGGUGGAGCUUGACUCAACCUCCUCUAGACCUCAUUUAAGGGCUGACCACCACUAAGGCAGCUUCUCUUGGAGAUCACUCUUUGGUGGAGAUUGUCUCAGUGAUUGGUUGUCAGCAGACUGAAGGCUUCCAUGUGGUGAGUUUUUCCUGUAAAUAACCUUUUGGAUAUUUACUACCAUGUUUUCAUUAUUGUCACCGUACAGUUGGGUAUCAAGAAAAUCUUCUUUACAGGAAGGGUUGUUAAGCACUGGAGUAGGUUCCCAGGUAGGUAGUUGAGUCACCAUCCCUGGAUGUGUUUAAAUGCCAUUUGGAUGUGGUGCUCAGUGUCAUGAUUUAGCCAAGGGUUGUUGCAGUUAGGGUACUAUGGUUAGGUUGUGGCUGGACUUGGUGGUCUUCAAGGUCUUUUCCAACCUGAGCAGUUCUAUGAUUUCUUAAAGCAAACAUGAUCUAUUUAAAUUCUGAAUUUUUGAAAAGAAUAGGUAAUUAAAUAUAGCAUAAAUCAAUUUUAGAAAUCAAGUUAUUUGUAAUUCUGUAUUUUAAAGUUUUGGGUUUUUUUAUUUGUUUGAACUUCAUUGUCAGAUAAGUAGGAAUUUAAUUAAUAGAUUUCCUACAGAAUCAUCGCAAAGUAUCUUUAACCAAUAGAGUUUAUAAAACACUGUGCGUUGAUAUGAACUCUCUACAGCUCUGAAAUAUUAAUUCCACAGAACAUUGGUAGUAGUUUUAACAAUAUUUAAUCUUUGUAUUCACUUGUGUCUUCUAUUUUGUCUUGCUCUUUCCCUAUCAGAAUAGUCUCUAAACAUGUUCACAAAUGAAAUGUCAAAACACACCACAAACUGAUUUUAGCCUGCCCGAGACUAAUGUAGGAAGUGGGAAAACUAGACAUUUUGAGUAGUGUGGGCCAAUAAAAGACUUCAGAAGAGUGAAUGACCACUUGACAAAGUAAGUAAUACAUGGACUAAGCAUUCCACAUAGAUGAAGGAAAAGCCUUGAAAUGAUAGAGAUUUUAUUUUGCACUUUUUUAAAGGUGGAAUCAGUAGAGAUAUUUUGUUUGGUGCAAAAAACAAGCAAUUUUUUCAUACCAGUGUGAUAGAUCUCCAGCUUGCAGACUGGGCAGGUGACAGCACUUAGCACAUACUUCUGCAGUUGUCACUCAUCUAAACUUCUGACCUAUGUUGUCAUAUUUAAAUGUAAUUACUCUGUUACUUCAAGCUCUCAUGCUUUGGAAUCAUUUCAAGUGGUCAUAAGCACAUGAAGAAUCAAACAAGUACAGCAGAACAGUAACCUAGAAAGAUAAAUGCUUGUUCAGAACCUUAUUUGACCUGCUGCAUGUCCAGCCUAUCUUCAGCUGCUUCAUCCAGUUUCUUCUGGUUCAGGAGUUAUACAGAGAUGAUAAUACCAUGACAAGUAAAUAGCCAAGAAGGUUUGGAAACAUGGAAAAAAAAACUGUGUUGAACUUUUUACGUCAGCCUCCGUGUUAAUAAGGAAACUGACCUAUUAAUAAAUGCCACACGGCCUUAGUUAUCUCAUUGUUAACUUAAAUGAGGUUGUUACACACAGAUAUGUAAAAGCAGAAAAAGCAAGCGAUUGAGAGUUAAUGAGUUAUUCUGUGCAGGUUUUCAGAAAUCAGAUAGUACUGAAAACUCCAAGUAGUGACUGGGAGUGUAAGUUUAGUUCAUUCUUUUCUCUUUAGAGUUACUUGAUGAUGCUUUGAACACAACCCGUAUUUGGACCACAGAGCCCCUCUGCAGAAAAACACUUGUCUUUCUGUUUUGCAGGAUGGAUUGCCACCAAUUACUGGAAAUGUGUUUAGGAAAGUAUGUUAGCAAACAGCUAUGUAAUAAGCAGGACAUUGGUGUUUGCAGCAAUAAUCUACCUCCAGUCCAGUGAAGUGUCCCUUCAGACAUUUCUGACAGGUAGCAGUGAUGUUGCUAUGAUAAAUUCUUGACUCCUGACUCAGCCAUUUUAUUCUCUAGGAAGGUCUCUAAUAUAAGCAGUUGACAGUAUUUCACAUGGUUUAUUUUCCCCAUGGCUAAUUCAUUAGCUAAGACACCCAUGUUUAUUUAUUGCACCUCAAACAAACUGUGAUUUGAUGGCUCCUGGAUAGUGCAGGUCUGACUCCAUGUGCUGAUCGUGCAACUCAUACAGAUGAUUUGUUGCACUGUUGGUUGUUCAGAUGUUGCUGGUUACUUGCUUACUGCAAGUUGUUUGCCUUAGUUAUUUGAUCACAGUGUACCUGCCUGGUGAUAUACCAAUGUAAAUGGGUGUAGUACUUGGCUCUGCAUUAUCUGCAAGAGUCUCUUCAGACAAAAAUAAUAGUAAUAAUACAUGGAAUACUGUACUCAAUAAAAGGACUUGAUUAGAUCCAGAAGCCACAAGCAGUCUAAAGGCAAAAUCAACCAUUAACGACACAGCCAGAAAAAGUCUGAGGGCUGUUGACCUACCUUAAGCUGGAAAUCCCAAGGCAAUGACAUACUGUAACGACUGGCUGACAACGUGCCAUAAAUUUCACUGCCCACAUGGCAAAGCAAGGAAACUUUGUCCUUUCCUUACUUUCGAUCAAACAGGUUUGUAUGAAUGCUCAAAUCAUUCUGUAAACAAAGUAGCCUGCAAAAUGGGGUAGGAGUAUAUCCAGAACAAACCUGAGUUACUUGCAAUGGGGAGGGGAGUCUGGACUGUCUGGUCCAGAAUGCCAUAUGAGCAAUAAACAUGUUUCUCCUUGGCCAUAUAUAAUUGUCCGUGACAUAUUGUCACUCGGCCUCAAAAAUUCUUCUUAAUAGUCCAGGCGGAAAUGCUGGCUUCAUAGGGGUCACGUUUGAUGCAAGAUACAAGCAGGUGCUUUUGAAAGACUAACAGUGCAGUGUUGAAUGGCUGCAGGACUCUUCCCUCAGUUGUCUCUGUCUAAACCCCUCAAAGCUUGUGCCAUCCAGCUGGAGCCUGUGUGAACUCAGCCACUUCUCCGUGGUUUUGCAUCUUCCCUUACAAACAGCCGCCAUAAAUACUAAGAACAUUUAGCUCACAGAGAUAAAUCCUGAAUUCAAAGAGCAAAGUCUGCCAGACUGCAUAAAACCAGAGGCUGUCUCAGAGCAUAAGCACAGCUGUACCUUUGCCCAAUUUACUGAACAUUUUGAAAUGUACUUAAAUAACAGUCCUUUUCACUAUAUUCAGUUAUAAUGGUCAUUAGAGUACUCUGCAUCAGCUUUCCUUGAUGCUCUCAUGAGUCUGAAUAGUAGCAAUUUAUUACCCACAGGGCCAUGCAGCUUCAAUCUCCAAUGGCACAAUGAGAUUUCUUUCAUUACUAUAGAGAUAUUUCGGUACGUUCAUUCACUUUCCCUGAAGUCAGAAAAACUGCCCCUGUGAGAAUUAAGUAUAGAAAAGCUUCACGCAAUACAAUACGCCUACUAAAUUUUUCUCUGCUAUUUUGCAGGAUUUCGAAACAGAUCAGACCAUUUUCUGAACCUUACCUAUGUUAGGAAGGUCUGGUCUGAACUGUCAUUUGCACCCUUACAUCCCCAGCAAACUGGGUAAGGUGAAGGAUCCGUUUAUGGCUUUCCUUGUCAAAGCAAAAACAAAAGAAUAUUCCAGAAGGCAAGUAAUAUGUACUUUCUCUAAGUGACCCAAGGGUCACCUAUGAAACAAAACAAUUUUUUGCCCAAGAGAGACAUGCCUUUUGAUUCAGGACUCCUUAAAAGCAGAACUAGAUGGUACCUGCAAUCUUGUAGACAAGCAGAGAACCAGUAUGUCACGUUCUGAAUCAUCAAAUGUUCUUUGAGACUUCUAUCUACAUUUGAACCAUUUCUUUAGAACAUAUCCUAAAUGCAUAGAAAAUAUAAACCCUUUUAUGUAUUUAUUUUGAACCAAUCUGUUCCACAAUCAACAUUUUAUAUCUUAAUUUUCAGUCAUUUUGUGCAAAAUAGGUGGCUACAAUGUGAGUUUCGAAACAACAUUCCUAGAGGUUCCCUCAUUCUUCCAUGAAACUAGUUGGUACCUGAACGAUUUAUAAAAUGGGAAAACACUGUUAUUAAACCGUUGUGACUCACUGGAGGCCUAUUCUUUAGGGCUAAGAAGUGGCUGAGUAAUGAGUCAGUCAUAAAGUUUGUGGCCUGUGCUAAAAUCAGAUGUGGUUGAGUUGCUUAUCCUAAUGCAGUCAGUAGGGACAGAGUAAGCAUAUCCCGGUAUGCUCCAACAGAGCAAUUAUUUUCUGCUACAACUGAAAUUAAUAAUCAAAUGCUGAGUGAAAAGCUCUGUCAUCAUUCAUCAGCAAAGAUUUGCGCACAGAGUUAUAAAAGUUUGCAAGAUCAAACGUUUAAAUAGGAAUGCAUUCUUUAUGCCAGCAAUGAACACUUUGAGCUCUUUCACACACCUGAAUGAAGUUUGCUUUCAUCUUCACUGCUGGCAGUUUGAGUUAUCACUGUAAAGAUCUAACUGUGGUAUGCUUGUAUUCAUUGAUAUUUACUUCACCUUUUUUAAAAUCUUCUUGGCUGCAAAGCUGUGCAAAAACUGGUGGGCUUUGCAGUGUGGGGGCCAGUAGGAACCUCAGGCAUUGCAUCCUGAAAAAUUCAGAAGGGAGUCCCACAGGCAAGGUGCAAUCCACAGUCAACUGCAGACUUGUUUGUGGUAGGCUAGGAAGUUGUGAGGAAGUAAAAAUCCAUCUACUCCUAAUCAAAGGUUCAUGUGACCUUUUCUAGCCAAAUGGCAGUGAGGUCCCUGAUAGGUCAUAGUGUAAGGAAGAGUAUAUGUGGUGUAAGAAAACAAAAUGAAGCUCACCCCACUACAGGGCAUAAGACAAAAAGAAUGAGCAAGAACAGGCUAAAAAUGAAUCAUAUUGGAUUCCUCAUAGUUCUAACAGAUGCCUUCUUAUUUAGCUGAAGACAGAGUUGAUAUUACUGCCGAACUUACAAGCUCUGUUAAGUAAAUUACACUGAUAGAUAAGAAGCUACAGAAAGUAAAAUAUAAAAGAGGGUUACAUUAUACUAAUAGCAUUAAAUCCCAGGAUUUAACAUGCACAGUUUAAAAUGUUAUCAAGAAGAGAUAGUCAAACUUGUUAAUUUAUUUCUUCUAGGCAUAAAAUGGCUAUUUUACCAAAAUGAUCUCCUUGGUACGUAGUACAUGCACUACCAGAAGUAAAGUCACUUUCCAUUUUUUUUUUAAUUUAUAUAUAUGUAUUUAUUUAUUUAUUUCAUGUGAGACAUGCAUCUCAGUCACAGAAUUGCAGUUGCAUACAAAACAGCUUUGACUGGGAAUUCACUUAGUGCUUCGUGAAUAAACCUUAUAUUAAAAACAUGUAUGCAUCCUGCAGUUCUGCUAACGCUUUCAAGUCACAUACUUAAGGACUCAUAUUCUAAAUGGUUAACCAUUUAGAUAUUCAAGAGCAUUGCAGUGAGCCUGGCCUAAAGCUCACGCAGCCUCUCUGUGCCCUUGAGAACUUGAUAUUUCAUGGUCACCCCAUUAGCAAUUAGUCCCCCACUACUGCAAUGGCAUGAUGUCCCCAAGGAGUAAAAGAGCAGAAGGGGGAGAAGAAAUGGAAGAAAUGCAUCUGAAACAGGUUCCAUCCUUGUUUUUGUAAAAAUCUUCCUGAUUCUGCGUCUCUCAUUCUAAUACAAACUUGAUCUCAUUAGAAAAACCUGAAUGCUUGAAAAUAUCUUAUUUUUAUCUGUUUAUUUAUUUAUGUAAGAAGGAGUUAAAUACAUAAAAGCGUUAGAAAUGCACAUGUUUCAGAAAUUUAGAAGAAAAGGGGAGUCAGCAGGUAGGGGAGCCAACAAGCAUUUCCCCCAGGUCUGUUUCCUUUCCUGAUCAGUUCUCUGGUUGCCAUUUGUGGCAAUAAUAAUCACGUAUGCCUUUAAAUGAUCACAAUCCCUACAUGAUGUCAGACUUUCUGGUUGAAAACUAAAGCUAUAGCUCAGCCUAGGGAUUAAUACCUUAACAAAUGAUAAAACUAAUAAAUGGACAUUCAAAAGAAAACUGCUCUGUAACUUCAAAGGGGUCCUGAUCAGAUUCAAAAGCUAGAAUUUGCUUGAAAUUUUCUUUUAACUCUUUGUAGGACGCUGCAGUGCAUUUGGAGAAGCUCAAGCACUUGUUUCAGGCUCCCUAAAAGCUGAGCCCAUACGCAUGAUGAUGUUACCAUCUGCUGGACUCCAGGAGGAAUGCAGCAAUCCAGGCAAAUCCCUCUGCUGCUUGUUGCAGCAAGGCAAGCCACCUGCUCUCUCCAGCAUCCCUAAAGCAAUAUGGAGAGGCAAAUAGGCACCCAGCAGUCAUCUUGUAGUGGCCACACAUCAGGGAUAUGGAUCCUGACCACUGAUUUUGUUGUUUGGGUGCUGGAAUGGGGAGCCAGGCUUGGAGACCAGGUAUUUGCUGGAGGCUGCUCAGGAGCACGGGCCUGCAGGACCCUUUGGACUGCACCAAGGCACUCUAGACCCACUACGGGACAGGGCGCUGACUUAGAGAAGCAUAGAGUAAAAGGGAGGAAGGCUUCAACAUGGUGUCAGUGUGUGCUGAAAGCUUAACAAGCGGUCAAGUGCCCUAUCUGGAUGGGAGGCCAGGGCAAACAGAAAGUCCAUCAUUAGAUACUGGUAGCUUAAAUAGGUGUAUUGCUCCCCGCACUCUCCACAGUAGAAGCUGGUUUUUUUUGCUAGGGAUCUUCUACACUUAGGAAAAACUGAAACAAACAUUUGACUUAUUUGCUGUUUUCUGUUUGGAAUUUUUAAAUGACAGCAAGUAAUUGCUCAGUGGAACAAAUGACAAUUUUAUAAUCAUCUCCCAGUUGUCAGGGGAGGAAGAGCAAUACAACACUGCUCAACAUUUCUGCAACUGGAAGACAAAUUAAGAAGUCACCUUAAGCUGAUAGGUAGAAUACUAUACAUGGCAAGUGAUUAUAUUUCAGUUAUCUGGCUUAUACUCCUGAGCACCAAAAUUACUUUAACAAACAAUCGUUCUUAGCAAAUGACUGUAAAACGUCUUACCUCAUCAAAAUCACUGGCACAUCCACUGGUACUUCUCAGAACAAGCAUCAAAGCUCAAGGACUGUAUAUUAUGUUAAGCGGUUUAAUAUUGGAUAUAAAACAGUGGCGCUGGUGCUAGGGAAAGAACUACAGCUGAGGGAGGUCAUGGGCAAUCGAGGAUAGGGGAAAACUUGAUAUUUAACUUCGUCUCCCAUCUGCAGUAUUUAAUCACUUGAUAUAAUAUAUAAAUCCUUGAUCUUUGAUAUUUGGAGUACCAAAGGAAUUGUCACAUUUUCAGAAGCAUCUUUUCUGUCCAAAGGAACACUAGGUGGAAAGGAUCAAUUGGUAAUGCUGUGACUGAAUAAAGUGCUAGAGAAAAAAACCUCAAAUAAAAUAAUGUAGCUGCGCUCAGCACGGCAGCUGUCUAAUUUUCAGCUUCCAAGCACUUACCACUACUGGUGGUCUAUUCAAGGUGAAUCUGCUGUGUAAUGUCACGAUAUUCAACAGAGGAAUCUUCUGUGCAUUUGCUAUGCGUGUUAAAAUUAAAAAACAAAGGACAGAUCUACAGUACUCUCAUCUAAAUAAACUUUGCAAGGCUGUGCUUUUAUCAAAUUAGCUAGAGUGAAAUCUGCUUUCAUGGCAAAUACAAACUUAGAGGAAACAGAUACCUGAAUUGUCAGGCUAUUUAUGUACUUUUGCUUGCUCUUUUCCAAAUUAUAUUCAGCUUUAUUUUUUACCAAGGCAUUUCUUGGACUAAGCCAACUUCUAUAAUCCCCAUUUCAGUCUAGGGCUGAUAUACAGAUGGAUUACAGAUUCUCAUUCAGCAGUUAUAUGCAUGUGUGAACCAAAGAGAGUUAAGUAUGAGCAAGGGUGUUUGGAGAAUUCAUGUCUUGUUCUGCAGCCUGUACCAGGGCAAGUCCACAGAAGGGAAUGAGAGACACUAAUGUAAAACUGGGGUAGGUGAUACAAGCCCAGUACUCGUGUUCUGCAAUAUAACUAAGCGAACACAAGGAGUGCAAGGCUGAUAUUUCUAACCAUCAAAAGAGACAAAACUGCCUGCCCCAAAGAAGGAGGCUGCAAUCACUUUCUUUUCCAAGGGCUAGAAAAAUAGUCACUUCUUGUUUGAACAAAAGUCUGUCAGGAUCAGAUAAAUGAUGAGAAGUCUUCUACAUUCCAGUCCCCGGUCUGAGUCAAUAGAGGAACACCCAAGCUCUUCAGUGUUGCCACCAGUGUUGGAAAGGGGAGACUCUCUGAUCUGACUUAUAAAGAACAAAUUAUCACAGUGACACAUGCCCACUCCCAUUUUAAAAUCUCCAGGUGCUAAAAAUGCUGCAAGCAGUGGUAGAAACAGAAGGACAGUUCUGCAGUGCAGGUCAUGCUGCUUCCAAUGCUCCUGGUUAGAAAUGGGUGCCUGAUCAAUCUGCUUGCAAAUGUUUUAGGAUGAGGUCUUCUGACAUUUUCUUCCUUGUAUACCUUUUGUUUCUCUGGGUGACUUUACCUCAAGCAGCAUUUGUAAACUCUUUGUAGAUAACUUUCCUACAAUUGCUGCUCAGCCUCAUUGCUCAGUGCUGGCAUUAAUAGAGGACACGAUUUGUCUUUAAUAUUUAAAAGUUAUUGUCUAUCUUCUAGACCUUUUCAAUAGAUAGAGUUGACCCUUCCCAAGGGUAGGGAAAUGUACUGUGUGUUUCUUGCUUUUGUAGUAGCCUGGGUUCCGCAACACUUGCAGCAUAGACAGGCAAACAUAUUUCUUUCAUAGUGAAAAGAAAUAAGCAGCUCCCUGUAGAAAUGCACAGGACCAUCUGCAGCUUGACGGGUCAUUGGGUCCCAGGCUGAAGAGCUGUAAACCCAGAAGUCAUCAUCCAAAUACUUAAAACCAGCUGAGACACUGCAAGAAAUCCUUCAUCCAGUAGCACACAGUUCCUCAGCCUUUUCACCUGAGGCUUGAUAAUGCAUGGGAUAAUGUGUAUCUGAGCAUCUAUUCCAGGAAGAGAAUGAAAUGUACAAACUCUGAGCUCCAGUAAAUACAAUGCCUAGCUCAGCUCUUGUGGAGAUAAGGAGAACUUCAGUGAAAGGUCAUUUCAUUCAGAUAAUUAGAUCCUGCUGACGUUUUCUGUGGGAAUAAGUUGAGGAGGAGAGUCAGUGAUUCUAGCUGUUGCUCAGAUACUGACUAUUAAGUAAUUGCAGCUUACUGUAAAUAAAGGUGACAUGGAACGAUGCUUUUAUUUGUUGUGACUUUAUUUUUGCAAAGUCUGUAAAUAAAAGUUGCUUUUUUUUUUUUUCAGUUAAACUACUAAUUUUUCAGAGCCAUAUUGUUACAUGCCACAGAACGCUCCAAGGCAAGGAUCUGCCUGAACUCAGACGGGAGGCCUGGAAGGCCAUCUUAGGAGCUGUAAGGAGAUGCAGGAUGUUUAGGUGGGCUGGAAAGAGUGGCGGGUUCUUAGGGGAGUGCCGGAUAUGCUUACCAGCCAGCCACAUCUUCACGAGGUAUAGGAUCUCCCCCAUCCCUAAAUUACCAAAAACUUGUCUGCUAUAUGCAGAAAUCAUAAAGAGCUGCACUACAGCUUCCAGCCAGUGUAGUACAGAGAAGUGAUAUACUUCGGGUGUAAAAUGGCACAGGGGAAACUGCUCUUAGAGUAUUCAUUUCAGGUAUGAUGAACCCAUUGUCCAGCAGUUUCUGCACACGAUGAACUAACAGAACUCCUAAACUGCUGGCUCUUCCUUCCAUCACCAGCUUGCCACUUGAAUUUCUCAUGUAUCUGCAUCCUUUAUGCAAGGAAAUGUUCUUCAAAAGGCUGUGAAAUUUGGUGUUUGCAAGAUGCUUGAGAUUCAAACCUUGCAGUAGCAACAUUUCUUAUUGUUAAAGGCCUGAAAGAUAUUGCAAAACUGUUUUCUUAAUAAAGCCAUCAUAACAGUCUCAGUAUACACUGAACUAUUUCUCCUACCACCCUAGUCAGAUGGUGGGCUAUGGUUCAUGUUAAAUGUGUUUGGAAUAGAGGCUUUCAUCAGAAGUAAUCUUCUGGGAGUCUUUGCAUGUUUGUGAAAGUCGAAUGCACAGAUGUGGCUGAUAAGUAAGGAAAUUGCUGUAUUAUUUAAUGUAGAUGUUAACGAAGAUGUUCUCUGUCUCUCCCAGAUGCAACAGCAUUUGUCUUUAUAAUUGUAUUCAGUUGCAGCAAAAUCUUUUUCUCUUUUCCAUCUAGAGAUUAGA